GCUGAGUCCAGCUCUUCCAAAUCCAUUCAUCACUGGAAGGUUAUGGAAACCAAAGAGAUGUGCCAAUGCAGGCCAUGAAGCCCUGAGACUGCACCACCACUUCCAAGCAGGACAGACUCUUCAGAGAAGCUGUUCUGGCUGGGAGAAUGCACAGAGCCAAAGUCAGUCUCAGUGAAUGGAAAUGAAAGAAUAUGAGGUGGUUAAUGCCUUCUUUUAAGCACCCUGCUCGAAUACGUAAUUCGGUACUCUCAGACUUCAGAUAAUGAAUAAUCAUUUUCACGGAUCAACCUAAUUGGGUAGCUGAGAGCUUUGCCUACAACAGAGUGAAAAAAUUGAAUCCUUUCAGAAGGAGUGCUGGAGGCUCCUUUCUCACAGAGCAUACCAAGGUUUUCUCUUCAUUUUGCCACAGACUACCUCCAGGACCUUCAAUAACUCACUGAUCUCCUGCCCUGCCUUAGUGCCAUAUGACAUGCUUGAGACCUGCAUGCCCUGACAGAAUAUUUCCUGCCCUAUCUCUGCUCUGUCUUGCCGUUUUCCGUGGUUCAACCCAGCUGGAAAUGAAGCACUUUGCAAUUACAUGCUCCCUCCCCUCCUCUCCAGUGGGAUGAAGAGAAGAAUCUAAAAAAUAUAAAAUGUGGGCUGAGAUAGAGAAGAGAGACUCAUUCAUUGAAAUAAAGUAAAAUACAACCAUCUCCAUCAUCAGCAGCACAGUAAUGAAAAGG